rnacentral:rRNA from 1 species
UACGUAGGGGGCAAGCGUUGUCCGGAUUUAUUGGGCGUAAAGAGCGUGUAGGCGGCCAGACAGGUCCGUUGUGAAAACUAGAGGCUUAACCUCUAGACGUCGAUGGAAACCGUUUGGCUAGAGUCCGGAAGAGGAGGAUGGAAUUCCUGGUGUAGCGGUGAAAUGCGCAGAUAUCAGGAAGAACACCCGUGGCUAAGGCGGUUCUCUAGUACGGUACUGACGCUGAGACGCGAAAGCGUGGGGAGCGAACAGG